rnacentral:rRNA from 1 species
AGAGUUUGAUCCUGGCUCAGAUUGAACGCUGGCGGCAUGCCUUACACAUGCAAGUCGAACGGCAGCACGGGUGCUUGCACCUGGUGGCGAGUGGCGAACGGGUGAGUAAUAUAUCGGAACGUACCUUAUCGUGGGGGAUAACGCAGCGAAAGCUGCGCUAAUACCGCAUACGCCCUGAGGGGGAAAGCGGGGGACCGUAAGGCCUCGCGCGAUUAGAGCGGCCGAUAUCUGAUUAGCUUGUUGGUGGGGUAAAAGCCCACCAAGGCGACGAUCAGUAGCUGGUCUGAGAGGACGAUCAGCCACACUGGGACUGAGACACGGCCCAGACUCCUACGGGAGGCAGCAGUGGGGAAUUUUGGACAAUGGGGGCAACCCUGAUCCAGCAAUGCCGCGUGAGUGAAGAAGGCCUUCGGGUUGUAAAGCUCUUUUGUCAGGGAAGAAACAGCAGCUCUAACACAGUCUGCGAAUGACGGUACCUGAAGAAUAAGCACCGGCUAACUACGUGCCAGCAGCCGCGGUAAUACGUAGGGUGCAAGCGUUAAUCGGAAUUACUGGGCGUAAAGCGUGCGCAGGCGGUUAUACAAGACAGGCGU